rnacentral:rRNA from 2 species
AACGCGAAGAACCUUACCCGGGCUUGAACUACGGAUGGUAAGUCCCUAGAAACAGGGGCUGACCCGCAAGGGAGUCCGCAGAGGUGCUGCAUGGUUGUCGUCAGCUCGUGUCGUGAGAUGUUGGGUUAAGUCCCGCAACGAGCGCAACCCCUAUUCGAUGUUGCUAAUCCCGCAAGGGAUGCACUCUUCGAAAACUGCCUUCGAUAAGAAGGAGGAAGGUGGGGACGACGUCAAAUCCUCAUGGCCCUUAUGUCCGGGGCUACACACGUGUUACAAUGGCCGGUACAAUGGGAAGCAAUGCCGCAAGGUGGAGCCAAACCCACAAAGCCGGCCCCAGUUCAGAUUGUGGGCUGCAACUCGCCCACAUGAAGGCGGAAUCGCUAGUAAUCGCUGAUCAGCAGGCAGCGGUGAAUACGUUCCCGGGCCUUGUA